rnacentral:rRNA from 1 species
CACCUCCAAUCAGGCAAGGCUACCCGCUGAAUUUAAGCAUAUAACUAGGCGGAGGAAAAGAAACUAACCAGGAUUCCCCUAGUAACUGCGAGUGAAGAGGGAAGAGCUCAAAUUUGAAAUCUCUGGGGUUUCCCCAGCGAAUUGUAGUUUUGUGAGCGGCUUUUAGGGGUCCCCGAGGUCAAAAGUCCCUUGGAACAGGGCGCCGGAGAGGGUGACAGCCCCGUACAUGGGCCUCGGGGGUUCCGGCAAAUUGCCGUUUCGACGAGUCGGGUACUUUGGGAGUAGUGCCCCAAUCGGGUGGUAGAUUCCACCUAAAGCUAAAUACGGGUGCGAGACCGAUAGCGAGCAAGUACUGUGAAGGAAAGAUGCAAAGAACUUUGAAAAGAGAGUUAAAAGUGCUUGAAAUUGUUAAAANGGAAGCGAUUGACAGCAGUGACUGUGGCCGUGCAAUUCACACGGGGCCUAGGGCUCUGCCGGUGCUUUANGAGCUGUACUU